UACGUAGGGUGCAAGCGUUAAUCGGAAUUACUGGGCGUAAAGCGUGCGCAGGCGGUUGUGCAAGACAGAUGUGAAAUCCCCGGGCUUAACCUGGGAACUGCAUUUGUGACUGCACAGCUAGAGUGCGGCAGAGGGGGAUGGAAUUCCGCGUGUAGCAGUGAAAUGCGUAGAUAUGCGGAGGAACACCGAUGGCGAAGGCAAUCCCCUGGGCCUGCACUGACGCUCAUGCACGAAAGCGUGGGGAGCAAACAGG
rnacentral:rRNA from 1 species